GGAGAUGUUUAGUUUAAUGAGCACUCCCUUGCUUGGCGCCAUAUUGUUUUUUGCCGUAAAGUGUUGGAUGUGAGAUAGCAUGCGAGAGGACAGAAGUUAUAAAUUCACAGAGAUAUAUCGAUGUUUAUUGCUGGGAGACACACUCUUCAGAACUCCAUGAUCCAUACUUCCUUGUGUUUGGGAAUAAA
rnacentral:misc_RNA from 1 species